rnacentral:tRNA from 1 species
UGCAUCGACCGGGAAUCGAACCCGGUCCGCCCGCAUGGCAGGCGAGCAUUCUACCACUGAACCACCGAUGG